CCUACGGGGGGUAGCAGUGGGGAAUAUUGGACAAUGGGCGAAAGCCUGAUCCAGCCAUGCCGCGUGUGUGAAGAAGGCCUUCGGGUUGUAAAGCACUUUCAGUGGGGAAGAAAGCCUUGAGGCUAAUACCCUCGAGGAAGGACAUCACCCACAGAAGAAGCACCGGCUAACUCCGUGCCAGCAGCCGCGGUAAUACGGAGGGUGCGAGCGUUAAUCGGAAUUACUGGGCGUAAAGCGCGCGUAGGCGGUUUGAUAAGCCGGUUGUGAAAGCCCCGGGCUCAACCUGGGAACGGCAUCCGGAACUGUCAGGCUAGAGUGCAGGAGAGGAAGGUAGAAUUCCCGGUGUAGCGGUGAAAUGCGUAGAGAUCGGGAGGAAUACCAGUGGCGAAGGCGGCCUUCUGGACUGACACUGACGCUGAGGUGCGAAAGCGUGGGUAGCAAACAGGAUUAGAUACCCGUGUAGUC
rnacentral:rRNA from 1 species